CCUACGGGUGGCAGCAGUGAGGAAUAUUGGUCAAUGGACGAGAGUCUGAACCAGCCAAGUAGCGUGAGGGAUGACUGCCCUAUGGGUUGUAAACUUCUUUUAUCUGGGAAUAAAAUGUUGCACGUGUGGGAUUUUGUAUGUACCUUAUGAAUAAGGAUCGGCUAACUCCGUGCCAGCAGCCGCGGUAAUACGGAGGAUCCGAGCGUUAUCCGGAUUUAUUGGGGUUAAAGGGAGCGGAGAUGGAUUGUUAAGUCAGUGGUGAAAGUCUGAGGCUCAACCGUAAAAUUGCAGUUGAUACUGGCAGUCUUGAGUACAGUAGAGGUGGGCGGAAUUCGUGGUGUAGCGGUGAAAUGCUUAGAUAUCACGAAGAACUCCGAUUGCGAAGGCAGCUUACUGGACUGCAACUGACACUGAGGCUCGAAAGUGUGGGUAUCAAACGGGAUUAGAUACCCCUGUAGUC
rnacentral:rRNA from 1 species